UGUCUUUCUCUAGCCAACUCCCAGUAAUUAGGAGAGGAAAAAUUCUUUGGUUCGUUUUUCGAAAGGCGAUACUUUUGGGGGUAUAUAAUGUCUAAAAGUAAGGAUAUUGAGAGCAUUGAAUCUCGCACAAAAGCAACAUGGGAAAAAAAAUAUUAUUCAUAUAUUUUGUGACCUCUGUUUAAAAGAAAUUGAAGUAGGUAAUCGACCAGGAACUCACUUUAAUAAGAAUGGUUGGAAUAACAUAGUUAACAAUUUUAAAAAAGAAACAAAUAGAUAUUACGAUAGACAUCAGUUAUAGAAUAAGUGGGAUCAACUAAAGAAGGAAUGGAAGCAAUGGAAGCAAUUGUUAAAAAAUGAAACUGGAAUUGGAUGGGAUUCAUGGAGGAGAAUCGUUGAUGCAGCAGAUGAGUGGUGGCGGGAUAAGCUAAAGGUUUAUCCAGAAGCUGCCAAAUUUAAGUUACAAGGAAUCGAACUUGAUCUUGAAGAGAAAUUAGACCGGAUGUUUUUGAAUACUGUAGCAAUGGGAGAUGAUGAAUGGGCACCAUCAUCAGGAGUUAUUCCUAAUAAUCAAGUGGAUACAUUGAAGGAUAAGACAAUAUCAGAGGUUGUGGGAGUUGAUGAUUCUGAUGAGGAACCUUACAUGCCAACAGCAUUAGAUGACACAUUAGGUGAUGCAGAAUUUCAUAGUAAUGAGCCAACAAGAAAGCCCAUUAUACUUCGAAGGUCUAAGAGAGUAGUUGAUGCAUCAGCCUCAAAUGUUUCAAGAAAAAAGCAAACAAAGGCAGUGGGAGCUGCUAAACUGUCAACUUAGAUCGAUCGUUUAUGCGAUGUGAUUGAAAGUAGGAACUCAAUGUUGAAAGAAAAAUCAGUAUCGGAAUCUGCAAUCACCGAGGCAAUUCGUCCUUUGGACACCAUUCAAGAGAUUCCUAGAAAUAGCUCACUUUAUUACUUUGCUACUACAUUGCUAAUGAAUAAGGAUAAAAGGGAAAUGUUCAUGGUACUUGAAGCAGACUCAAAAGAGUGGUGGCUCAGGAUGGAAGAAGCGGCGAACAAAAAAUAGGAUAGUUUAUUGCCUUUAGGAUUAUUUAUGAAUAAUUUUUCUCUUUAGCAAUAUCAUUUGAUACUAUUUUGAUGUUUUGUUAGCACAUCAAUAAAUAGCAAAAACAAUGAUGAAUUUUUUGUAUUCGUAUUUUAAUAUACAAAAAUUUUUCAUUAAACUUA